GGUUAGUAGGGAGGCGGGGCUUAUCUCAUACACGGUUAGUAGUGGAGUUACGUCCCUUUCUAUUCCUUAUAAGGUAUUAGGGAGGUGGGGCUUAUUUCAUACACGGUUAGUAGUGGUGUUACGUCCCUUUAUAAAAACAAAACGGUACUGAGAAAAAAUCGUAAAGGUUUCAACAGACGAAGAAAGUGAUGAUUAAGAUUGAAAUAAAUUCAUAAACCACAUGUAAACCUAACAAGUUGUUAUUGUUGGUAUCUGUUUUUGUAGGAUCAAUGGAAGUAGUUUCUUAAUGCUAACAGUAUUGAAGACUUGCUUAUUU
rnacentral:lncRNA from 1 species